rnacentral:rRNA from 1 species
UGCGCAGGCGGACUUGAAAGUCAGGAGUGAAAUCCCAGGGCUCAACCCUGGAACUGCUUCUGAAACUUCAAGUCUAGAAUUCGAUAGAGGUAAGGGGAAUUCCUAGUGUAGAGGUGAAAUUCGCAGAUAUUAGGAGGAACACCAGUGGCGUAGGCGCCUUACUGGGUCGAUAUUGACGCUCAUGUACGAAAGCGUGGGGAGCAAACAGGAUUAGAUACCCUGGUAGUCC